rnacentral:rRNA from 1 species
UACGGAGGGUGCAAGCGUUAAUCGGAAUUACUGGGCGUAAAGCGCGCGUAGGCGGCUGGAUAAGUCGAUUGUGAAAGCCCCGGGCUCAACCUGGGAAUUGCAGUCGAGACUGUUCGGCUAGAGUGUGGGAGAGGGAAGUGGAAUUUCCGGUGUAGCGGUGAAAUGCGUAGAUAUCGGAAGGAACAUCAGUGGCGAAAGCGACUUCCUGGACCAAUACUGACGCUCAUGUGCGAAAGCGUGGGGAGCAAACAGG